CCUACGGGAGGCAGCAGUGAGGAAUAUUGGUCAAUGGACGCAAGUCUGAACCAGCCAUGCCGCGUGCAGGAUGACGGCUCUAUGAGUUGUAAACUGCUUUUGUACGAGGGUAAACCCCGAUACGUGCAUCGUGUUGAACGUAUCGUACGAAUAAGGAUCGGCUAACUCCGUGCCAGCAGCCGCGGUAAUACGGCGGAUCCGAGCGUUAUACGGAUUUAUUGGGUUUAAAGGGUGCGUAGGCGGUUUGAUAAGUUAGAGGUGAAAUGUCGGGGCUCAACCCCGAAACUGCCUCUAAUACUGUUGGACUAGAGAAUAGUUGCGGUAGGCGGAAUGUAUGGUGUAGCGGUGAAAUGCUUAGAGAUCAUACAGAACACCGAUUGCGAAGGCAGCUUACCAAACUAUAUCUGACGUUGAGGCACGAAAGCGUGGGUAGCAAACAGGAUUAGAUACCCGAGUAGUC
rnacentral:rRNA from 1 species